CUUUUAUGAUAACAAUAGAAACCACACAAACCAAUAUUUCUAUAUCAUCUCCAAUCAAUUGCAAUGAGUUUUAUUUGUCAAGGAAAGAGUUCGUGGCCGGAGCUGGUGGGGACUCUGGGCUUUAAGGCCGUGGGCAUAAUUGAGGAAGAGAACUCAUCGGUGACUGCCAUCAUUGUGCCAAUAACCCAACCCGUUGUCGGGCCAUUCCUUUGCACCCGUGUGAGGGUAUUUGUCGAUCCACGUGGCUUCGUCGUUGUAACUCCCACGGUCGGCUAAGAGGUCAUCAAAUGGAAUAAUGGGAUACAUACAUAUGUUGAUAUGUAUGAUGUAUCAACAUAUGUAUGUAUAUUUGUGUGUGUUUGUUUCUAUGUUGUGUUCUAGGAGGUUCAGAGCCAAAUUAGUGUAAUUUGGAUCUUGAGUUUUCCUAUUUCCUUUCAAUGUAUGAAUAAAUGUGGCAUUUUGUACUAAUUGUAUGAAUGUUACAAUUGUUUGUUUUA